ACUCGAACGUGUUCUCAUUUUUUUGUGCGGUUGAGGACAUGGCAAUGGAGAUUUCUCCCGUGCUUUUCUUGGGCAGGGUGGAAAAACAUCCAAGUUUUCAACAGAUUCAUCAUCAGCAUCAUCUUGUUGUUCUUCUUCUUCAGAAACAUCCAAGAUUUCAACAGAUCCAUCAUCAGCAUCAUCUUGUUGUUCUUCUUCUUCAGAAACAUCCAAGAUUUCAACAGAUCCAUCAUCAGCAUCAUCUUGUUCUUCUUCUUCUUCUUCAGAAUCAGUUUCUUCCAUCUCGGGCUUAGGAUAUUCAAUUUCUGUAGCAGUUCUAUCAAAUAUCAACACAUGGAAGUUGGAGUUCCCUU
rnacentral:lncRNA from 1 species